rfam:Ixodes scapularis strain Wikel colony gcontig_1108378904476, whole genome shotgun sequence.
UCCUGGUUAUCUCAGUUGGUAGAGCACCCCACUAGAAAUGAAGAGGUCCCUGGUUCGAUACCAGGACCAGGCA